rnacentral:lncRNA from 1 species
UCCAUCUCGGAGCAGAAGGAGAUGCUGCAAUCCUCAUCUUGCCAUUGGGUGGAAUCUGGUUUUGUUGCUGCUUCUGUCAUAGAAAGAUGACAGAAAGGAAGAGAAUGACUAGAAGGGAAUGGGCAGUGGCUGGCUUCCUUCACUGGAAAGGAAGCAAGGGCUAUUCCAUUAGCCUCCUACAAUGUGGGAGAAAUAAUCGCUUAUGAUCAGGAGAGUAGGCACUGAUAUCAUGGCCUCUUGUUAUCCUGCUCCAGGAUGAAAUGUUUCUCUUUCUUUUGCCACAUAAAAAGGAAGGAUCAGGGAGUUGUUUGGGUUUGUGCCCUGGUUGCUAAUAUCUAUGUUGAUUCAAGAAAUUCAAGAGAAAUUCAAGAAAUUCAAGUACUUGCUGCUGUCUAUGGUACACAGGGAGAAAGUAGAAAUACAUGAGUUCUAUUCAUUUUGGAUAAUAAAUAAAACCAG